GACGAACGCUGGCGGCGUGCUUAACACAUGCAAGUCGAACGGAAAGGCCCUGCUUGCAGGGUACUCGAGUGGCGAACGGGUGGGUAACACGUGGGUGAUCUGCCCUGCACUUCGGGAUAAGCCUGGGAAACUGGGUCUAAUACCGGAUAGGAGCCAUUUUUAGUGUGAUGGUUGGAAAGUUUUUUCGGUGUAGGAUGAGCUCGCGGCCUAUCAGCUUGUUGGUGGGGUAAUGGCCUACCAAGGCGGCGACGGGUAGCCGGCCUGAGAGGGUGGACGGCCACAUUGGGACUGAGAUACGGCCCAGACUCCUACGGGAGGCAGCAGUGGGGAAUAUUGCACAAUGGGCGCAAGCCGGAUGCAGCGACGCCGCGUGGGGGAUGACGGCCUUCGGGUUGUAAACUCCUUUCGCUAGGGACGAAGCUUUUUGUGACGGUACCUAGAUAAGAAGCACCGGCUAACUACGUG
rnacentral:rRNA from 1 species